AUACUGACAAGGUAAUCAAAAUAAACAAAAUGGCGAACAAGGGAAGAUUUUCAGUUCGAUUCAAGCUUUAAAAAUUCAUACUACAUACAGAGAAGAUAAGUCAGAUGAAGUUCCUUUUAAAAACUCUUAUCACUGAAUCCUCCAGUUCUGAAGACUUAAUAUACAGUAUUCUUCAACAGUGGUCAGGCUUGACUGAAAAUGGCCUACACAUACCUAUUAGAUCCAACUAGUCCAAGGAUACAUGUUGGACCCAAGAAAACUUGUUCAUAUUGAACAACUUUUUUUUUAAUAUAUUAGUUCUGAAUGUAAUUAAAAAAGAAAUUUAUAAA